AGGCCGAUAGUUCAGUCGGUAGAACGCGUGUUUUAUAGACGUGAGGCGAGGGUUCGAUUCCCUCUCGGCCUA
rnacentral:tRNA from 1 species